rnacentral:rRNA from 1 species
UACGAAGGGUGCAAGCGUUACUCGGAAUUACUGGGCGUAAAGCGUGCGUAGGCGGUUCGUUAAGUCCGUUGUGAAAGCCCUGGGCUCAACCUGGGAAUGGCAGUGGAUACUGGCGAGCUAGAGUGUGAUAGAGGAUGGUGGAAUUCCCGGUGUAGCGGUGAAAUGCGUAGAGAUCAGCAGGAACACCAAGGACGAAGGUACCUACCUGGGCAGUAUCUGACACUCAAGUGCGACAGCGUGGGGAGCGAACCGG